GUGCUGUUUUGGCAUGGGUUUAGGUGUGGGAUUUGAGGUAUUUUACUGUUCUUUCCAUCUUGGAGUGAUAUAUUUUAGGAAGGGAGACUAGAAAUUACAAGGACAAAUGUUCUUUUCUGAUAAUUUUUGAACAGUUAUCUGUCUAUACUUCUAUCCAGUACAUGUCUCAAAGGGUAUGUAAUUUUAUUUGGCUGAAUUGAAAAUCCUUAAACGGAGUUUUGUCUAUCACUUUUACUGAUCAAGCG
rnacentral:misc_RNA from 1 species